UCCGUAGGCGGUGUGGUAAGUCGAUAGUGAAAUCUCUGGGCUUAACCCAGAGGCUGCUAACGAAACUACCAUGCUCGAGUGUGAGAGAGGCGAGUGGAAUUACGGGUGUAGCGGUGAAAUGCGUAGAUAUCCGUAGGAACAUCCGAGGCGAAAGCGGCUCGCUGGAUCACAACUGACGCUGAGGGACGAAAGCUAGGGGAGCAAACAGGAUUAGAUACCCUGGUAGUCCUAGCCCUAAACCAUCAGGACUUGGGGUUUGCCCUGUACGGGGCAAGUCCCGUAGCUAACGCGUUAAGUCCUGCGCCUGGGGAGUACGGUCGCAAGGCUGAA
rnacentral:rRNA from 1 species